AGGGGUUAAGUGCUCAGCUGCUAACUGAAAGGUUGGUGGUUCAAACCCAUCAGCCCCUU
rnacentral:tRNA from 1 species